UACGAAGGGGGCUAGCGUUGUUCGGAAUUACUGGGCGUAAAGCGCGCGCAGGCGGCUAUCCAAGUCAGUGGUGAAAGCCCGGAGCUCAACUCCGGAACUGCCAUUGAAACUGUUUAGCUUGAGGAUGAGAGAGGUGAGUGGAAUUCCCAGUGUAGAGGUGAAAUGCGUAGAUAUCGGGAGGAACACCUGUGGCGAAAGCGGCUCACUGGACCACAACUGACGCUGAGGCGCGAAAGCUAGGGGAGCAAACAGG
rnacentral:rRNA from 1 species